GUCUACCNGAGUACUAUGAAUGAUAUAGAAUUUAAAACUCAAAGAACUUGGCGGUGUUUUAGACCAUUUAGGGGAACCUGUCUCGUAAUCGACAGUCCACGUUACACCUGACCUUUUUUUGUUUCCAGUUUGUAUACCGUUGUCGUCAGGUAACUUUUUAGAAAGUAGAAGUUGGCUAUAUAAAUAUAAUGGUUUAGUACGUCAAAUCAAGGUGCAGCUAAUAAAAGGGGGAGGAUGGGUUACAAUUAUAGAAUCAUAAUGACGGAUAUUUAUAUGAAAGUGUAAAUUAUGAAGGCGGACUUAAAAGUAAAUUGGAUUAUGCAAACAAGUUUGAAUGCGGCUCUGAAACGUGU
rnacentral:rRNA from 1 species